rnacentral:rRNA from 1 species
GACGAACGCUGGCGGCGUGCUUAACACAUGCAAGUCGAACGAUGAAGCUGGAGCUUGCUCCGGUGGAUUAGUUGCGAACGGGUGAGUAACACGUGAGCAAUCUGCCCUUCACUCUGGGAUAACUGCGGGACACUGUAGCUAAUACCGGAUACGAGGCUUGGAGGCAUCUCCAGGUCUGGACAGAAUCUCGGUGAAGGAUGAGCUCGCGGCCUAUCAGCUUGUUGGUGAGGUAAUGGCUCACCAAGGCGACGACGGGUAGCCGGCCUGAGAGGGUGACCGGCCACACUGGGACUGAGACACGGCCCAGACUCCUACGGGAGGCAGCAGUGGGGAAUAUUGCACAAUGGGCGAAAGCCUGAUGCAGCAACGCCGCGUGAGGGAUGAAGGCCUUCGGGUUGUAAACCUCUUUUAGCAGGGAAGAAGCGAAAGUGACGGUACCUGCAGAAAAAGCACCGGCUAACUACGUGCCAGCCGCCGCCGUAA